rnacentral:rRNA from 1 species
AUGAACGCUAGCUACAGGCUUAACACAUGCAAGUCGAGGGGCAGCAUGAACUUAGCUUGCUCAGUUUGCUGGCGACCGGCGCACGGGUGAGUAACACGUAUCCAACCUGCCGAUGACUCGGGGAUAGCCUUUCGAAAGAAAGAUUAAUACCCGAUGGCAUAGUUCUUCCGCAUGGUAGAACUAUUAAAGAAUUUCGGUCAUCGAUGGGGAUGCGUUCCAUUAGGUUGUUGGCGGGGUAACGGCCCACCAAGCCUUCGAUGGAUAGGGGUUCUGAGAGGAAGGUCCCCCACAUUGGAACUGAGACACGGUCCAAACUCCUACGGGAGGCAGCAGUGAGGAAUAUUGGUCAAUGGACGAGAGUCUGAACCAGCCAAGUAGCGUGAAGGAUGACUGCCCUAUGGGUUGUAAACUUCUUUUAUACGGGAAUAAAGUGAGGCACGUGUGCCUUUUUGUAUGUACCGUAUGAAUAAGGAUCGGCUAACUCCGUG